AACCAACCUCGUUAAUCCUUAUAUUCAUAGUUUUGCCCCCAAAUAAUCCCUCUCCUCUGUUUUUCAAGUCCGAAACCAAUUCCAAAUACUCAAACCACAACACAGGAAACACUGCAGUUGACAAGACUGCCAUCUGUGGUCCGUCUCUUUUUUCAAGUUUGUCUAAGAUUGCACCUCACCUUGAAGAAUUCAAGUUUAGCUGCACAUAUGCCGCUGCAAUCCUGCGUACUUCUAAUUUGCAGAAAGAACACAGUAGUUUCUGAAGAAAUGCUCUUUCUCUCUUGAACGUUGGUGUUAUCGUGAAGAAAGCAAUGGCUUAUACACUAGUCCCAAAACUGUUGAUUGAAGCUCCUGCACUGCACAUACAGAACUCAAGCUCCAGCCGAAUGGACCUCCAAACUGGGAGCAAUCUGUCCUUGCUAAUAAAAACUCCAGAUGUUCUGUUAAGAAAUCCAUUUAGCGGUAACUUUAGUUGCCAAUCUUCUCAGCAGUGGCAGGGAGCUCUUGGUUCAGGAAAAACUGGUUCGAUUUUAUUCUGUAGAAGCAAGCAGGGAAGUGUCUGCCUUGAUAGAGUUAAAGAGGGUAAUGCUGGGAGCUUAGAUAGAAUUGUUGACAAGAGAUCAAAUGAGCAACAUUUAAAGAAACUUUCUAGUUCCUUAAGGUUGACCUUAGAUGGACCGUUGGUUGAAAAUGAUGAGACAACUAACAACAAAGUCCUUAAAAGUUUUUGCAGUCAUGGAAAGUUGCUUGAAGCAUCAAAAUUGGUUGACCUUAUGACUCGUCGAAACCAAAUUCCAGACUGCCCUUCUUGCGUAAACUUGAUCAGGGGCCUCGUCAAUGCUGGGCAGACAGGCAAAGCUGCCAAUGUUCUAGAAAUCAUGGUUAUGUCUGGUGGGACUCCAGAUAUUAUCACAUACAAUAUGUUAAUCAGUGGUCUCUGUAGAAAAGGGCUUUUGAAUUCUGCCAUUGGUUUCUUGGACUAUAUGAGCUUUAGCGGUUGCCCUCCCGAUGUUAUCACUUAUAAUACUAUACUGCGUGCUAUGUUUGACCGUAGUAAAUACGAUCAAGCCAUUCAGUUUUGGAAGGAUCAGUUAAGAAAAGGAUGUCCUCCUUAUUCGAUCACCAGUACAAUUCUGGUUGAAUUAGUCUGCAAACAUUGUGGUAUUAUACGUGCUCUUGAGGUAAUGGAGGAUUUGGCAGUUGAGGGAUGUUCUCCAGAUCUUGUGACCUUUAAUUCCAUGGUAAAUUUUGCUUCUAAGCAAGGGAACUUUGAAGAUUCAGCUUUACUAAUCUAUUAUCUUUUGUCACAUGGCCUUGAGCCCAAUGAUGUGACGUACAAUACUCUUCUCCAUUCCCUUUCAACCUAUGGAUGUUGGAACGAGGUAGAUGAGAUUCUUUCGGUUAUGAAUGAAACUUCACAUCCUCCUAGUGUUGUGACAUACAAUAUUUUAAUCAAUGGUUUGUGCAAGCAUGGGCUUCUGGAUCGUGCAAUUGAUUCUUUUACUCAGAUGGUCUCCCAAAACUGUUUACCCGACAUAAUAACCUAUAAUACACUUCUACGUGCUCUUUGUAAGGAGGCAAUGGUGGAUGAGGCCGUCCAAAUUCUUCACUGUUUAAGUGAUAGCAGCUGUUCUCCUAGUAUAAUCACUUACAACAUAGUCAUUGAUGGCCUUGCAAAGAAUGGUUUGAUGGAGAAAGCGAUGGAAUUAUACCAUCGGAUGGAAAAGGAUGGCAUUUGUCCUGAUGAUGUUACAUAUAGAUGUCUAAUUUGGGGUUUCUGUCGAGCAGAUCUUAUUGAAGAAGCUGUAGAAUUACUAAAAGAGAUGGGUAAUAGCAGACGCAGGGUCAGAGAUAAUUGUUAUAGAUUUAUUAUUCACAGGUUAUGUCAAAACGGUAAACUGGACUCUGCAAAACAAGUGUUGAAGAUGAUGAUAUCAAGUCGGCACAAGGUUAAUUCAUCCGUCUUUUCCACUAUAGUUGCAGGAAUAGCUGGUGCAGGUAUGAAUGAAGCAGCUAUGGAAUUGCGGGAAAAGUUGAUGGAAUGGAAAAUUCUCAAGGAAUAGAGAUUUUCAGAUUAAACAGAGUAUCCUUAACUCGGUCAAGGGCACAGCUGGUACAGAUAUGAACAAAGCAGCAGCACAGAAACGCAGAAAAAGUUGAGGGAAUGGAAAAUCUCUAGGAAUAGAGAAAGAGUACCCUUAUCUCAGCUCUUUACAUCAUUGGACAUAUCACCUCAGCACAAAUGGAAUGUACUCCUUUAGUAGGUUUCUUUCCAUUUCCUUUAUCUGUUCUAAUUUGUGCGCGGUAAAAUUUUUGACCCUCUCCUGUACCUGCUUGUCAGAGUUUUGGCUAGCAUCUGUAAUCUAGUUCCUAUGGCGACUUCUUUAAUUGCGGUAUAAUUCCUCUCUAUACAGGAAAUGCUGUAACUGUGGUUCAGUGCAUACAAGGCCUAUUUUAUCAGGACCCUUACAAGAAUGUCACUCACCAUGCCUUUCUCCGGCCAAUUUCGUUUUACACCAGUGGUGAAGCCAGAAAAUUCAAUAAGGAUGUUCAAAAUUUGGACACCCUUUGCUAGUGGGCUGGGCAAGGGUGUUUAAAGUCUAUGUUUUGAGCACUAACAAGUAAUAGUUUACCCUAUAGGCCUAUACACAUUAUAAUUUUUCGGCGAAGGGUAUUCAGUUGACCACCCUUGAUCACACACAAUCGCCCCUGUUUAUUUGACUGUUGGAAAAGAGACAAUGUAAAUAAUCAAAACUACAACAACAACAACUACCCAGUAUACUCUAUUUAUUCCAUUUUAUAUAGAAUUCUUUCCUUUUAGUUAGUUUGUCAUAUUUUCGGAUUAUUCUUAUU